UACGGGGGGGGCAAGCGUUGUUCGGAAUUACUGGGCGUAAAGGGCUCGUAGGCGGCCGACUAAGUCAGACGUGAAAUCCCUCGGCUCAACCGGGGAACUGCGUCUGAUACUGAUUGGCUUGAGUUCGGGAGAGGGAUGCGGAAUUCCAGGUGUAGCGGUGAAAUGCGUAGAUACCUGGAGGAACACCGGUGGCGAAGGCGGCAUCCUGGACCGACACUGACGCUGAGGAGCGAAAGCCAGGGGAGCAAACGGG
rnacentral:rRNA from 1 species